GGUCUUUUUCCAUUCCCUUGCUGCAGCUGUGAGCUCUUUUGGAGAGUCUCAGAGAGAUUCAGUAUUGUUCUGUUUUCUUGGGCAAGAGAUUUUUGAUACACGCCAAGAAAAAGGUGGAUUUGGGGAGAUAUGGGAACUUAUGCUAAAGUCCCUCAUUCAGGUACUGUCUGUUAACUUAGACAUGGCACUUCAGUACUCAGCACGGAGCAAGACAUCUCUUAUGGAGGCAUCCAGGACCAUAAAGCCCCACGAGGUGUCUCUGCACAAAGGCCUGGAAUGGAGACCUGUCCUCCAGUUCUCUUUGUACAUCUCAUGGACCUAAAGCACCUGGUCUUUCUGCCUUCAUUUCUUACACUAGAAAGAAGUGGCAGUACUAUUUUGUUUUCUCUUGAGGGUUCUGUGUUGGCUGAUUUAUAAACAGGGAUGAAAUCUGGAAGUCUUUACAUAGGGGCUUGCUAUAAUUCCAGUCCUUUGUCCCAUGUCUUCCACUAGACAAACGAAUGCAUUAAGGGCCUCUGAUGUGCACAGCAACUGCUGCUCAGCUGUCUUUAUGACCCGUACAAUAUUUACUGUGCUGCCAGGUUCAACAGUGCUGGAAAAAAAUAAUUGUAGAUGCAAUUUUACUGUAGAAAUUGUUUAGAACCUACUAAAGCUUUAGCCAGAGCAUAUGGGAUUUUUUUCUUCUAUAAAAAGCCCGAGGGUUAGUGUCUGUUUAAUAUUCAGGAGGCAAGAAAUGCUUCUAGCACUCAGAAACAGUGAAAAGCAUCCUGGUGGGAUCCCUGAGAUGAGAUACUAAAUCCUGAACUUGCACUCCUUGUUCUCUUAUUACAGCAGACAUCGAGGGGUAGCCCUUGUGUCCCUGCACAUCAUCACCAGCAGCAACAAAGACAUUAACUCAGUGCUGCUAAUGAGGGCCGGGUGAGCACUGGAAUAGGAAGCUGUGUUGACAUUUAAAAGAUCCCAGCCAUCAGGCUCCAUGUUGCCUAAUUGCCAGGGCUGUGUGGGAAGCACUGCUUCAAUGUCUCCAUCUAGUAUGGACAUGACGGGCAGGAAUACACUACUCCUAUGGAAUGUCAGUUACUUCAGGAAACAAUUAGCCUUUCUGAAUAUUCAAAAUAUGUCAAAACAUUUUUCCUUUUUACCUUUUAGAGCUCUUCAAAGCUGUGAGUGUGUCAACAUCAUUCCACCUACUUGGAGGCGGCUCUGGAAUAUUUGAUUCACAGAUGUUUCUCUUGGGUUUGCCUGAGGCAUCUCUACUAGGAAGACAUCCAAUCUUGAUCUGAAAACAUCAAGAGACAGAGAAUCCAGCCCUACUUUGGAUGAAGAAGAUCUUUUGCAUAUGGUAUUAUCUUCUUGUGGUGGUACUUGUAUGCUUUAAUCAAGUCAUCAAGUCAUGGCUCCAUCUUUUUGAUAAGGUGCCUGCAGCACACUCUGUGUGUGAAUGCCUCUCAGUGAUGUAUUAAACGAAUCACCUACCUGUCACAUCAUCUCAGAUGCAGGUCUGCAGUCAGAGAGAACUCACUGCCUAAAUGUUUAAAACGAGCAAGGAAAGUCAAUUACGUUUUUUAUAAACACAGCUGGAUCAUGAGCAUGAAAAUCCGAGUUAAUAAGAGUCUGACCACGAAGCAUUCCGUGAGCAGGGUGGGAUUUUUGUGUCGGCAGAGCCGUAGCUGUCCCAGUGGCUGGGUGGCAGUGGAGGUGUGCUGCCCGUGGGAAACCUGACCCGGCGAGUUCCCAGGCGGGCGAGCGGAACGCGGUCACUGCCGGUACCUGUCGGGAGAGCAGCCGCACACCUCACCCGCCGAGUGCCGCUGCCAAAGCACUGCUGGCGGCCCGAGAAACUGUUAGAAACAGUGCUCGGAUUCCUCAGCUGCCUAAAAACUCUGCUGAGAGAAGAAUCAAAAUAGCCAUAUACAAAACAUCACUUCCCAGCCUCUGUCAGUCAUUCCUGGGAAGCCGAUAUGUGUUCUGCGAAUGCAUCAUGGAGAAACCUGGCCAGCAGAGGUCAGAUAUGGAUUUGAACAGUUAGGGAGAAAAAAACUUUUCCGAUAUAUUCUUUGGCUUGAUAUUGUCUCUUGAUAUUUGAGGAUGGAUAGGUGUUUGGUGCUAGUGUGCAGAGCUGGUAUGCCUUGAGCCAUUUUAGUUUCCAUCCUUAUAGUAUUUGCUGUGUUACUCUCCUUUAGUACAUUUUUAAUGGUAAAUUUCAUAUAUUGACUCAGUAAUGAAAACUAGAUUAUAAGGAAAGUUAUAAUUUUAAAACAUGAUGUAUGUA